GGAAGUCGGAAGCCAAGUAGGGCCAUGCUCUCUCUGGAGGCUCUGGGGUGGGGGUGGGAGGUGCUUCCUGUUCUCUUCCAACUUCCGGGGCCUCCUGGCUCCUCGGCUGUGAGGAUGUCGUUCCAGCUCGGCCUGUAUCUUUGCACAGCCUCCUCCCUGCUAACUGUGUCUUCUCCGUUUCUGUCUUUUAUAAGGACAACCCCCCCCCUGGAUUCAGAGUUCCUGCUCAGUCCAGAUGAUCAUGAUCCCACCUUGAGGUCCUUAAUUACAUCUGCAAAGACCCGAUGCCCACAUUGAGAGGUGCCAGGAGAGAGGACACCGAGGCUCUGAGCCCUUCUAAGACGCACCCAACCCAAGCGGCACCACUGGAAGGUGGCAGGUCUGGGACUCACAGCUUUGUGGCAAAGAAAACAGCAAUUGCAAAAAUUCAGACAAGUUCUCAGACUGCAGAUUUCUGAUCCUGAGAAUUCCCUCCAGCCAGGAUGGGCUGGCAGUGCUGACUGGCACCACGCCUGGCUUCCCUUCCUCCCAGCUCCAGACCCCCACCUGCUGGGCACCAUCUUGUCUCCCAUCCUUGGGAGACAUUUACCUAAAAUUAACGGGACGUGAUGAUCUGACUUAUAGAGGAGCUCCGUGCCUUUUUCCUUCACUCUUUCUCAUGUUAAAAGCGCCCCCAAUUUUCUUUAGGAGAACCGCAGCUCACUCUCUCUGGAUCCUAUGUCCUCCAUUUGCUCCUCCCACCCCCAGCGCCUGGGAUAGGAAGUGACCCAGGGCAGGCCAAUGAGAUUCCUACAUCCCCUCUCUCUAUGGGGAUUGGUUCGGGCAUAUGCACAUGACCCAAGAAGAGCCAAUCAGAGCCAAGGACCAAAGAUAACGUGGGUGAAGGCUGCUGUCAUUGUAGUUGCUGCUUCCAGUAGCUGGGGACCAUCUUUGCCAAUGUCUGAGGAUAAACUCCCCAAGGAUGAAGAUAGUGCAGAGGAAACACAGCUGGGACUUCAAAGGAGGAAGAUCUUCAAUGACAUUGCUUGAGGACCUGGAUCCAGCUGUGCCUGAAGUCCUCGAGGAGAAAAUGAGUAGGUUUUGCCUCAGCCACUUUGCGUCAGGUGGCUGUCACACUCGGCCCCACCCGCGUAACGGCUAACAUCCACUGAACACUGUCAUAGUUUGGGUCACCCUGAAAGCUGAGGUUGACUCGGUGCAGAUAACUUUCAUGACAGUAGU